GAUCCUGGCUCAGGACUAACGCUGGCGGCGCGCCUAACACAUGCAAGUCGCACGAGAAACUUCGUAGCAAUACGGAGCGGUAAAGUGGCGAACGGGUGAGUAAUGCAUGGGUGACCUGUCCUCAAGGUGGGAAUAACCUCGCGAAAGCGGGGCUAAUACCCAAUGCCAUUUCGGUCUUACGGGAUCGGGAUGAAAGAUAGCUGUUACAGGCUUUUACUUGAGGAGGGGCCCAUGUCCCAUCAGCUAGUUGGUAGGGUAACGGCCUACCAAGGCUAUGACGGGUAGCUGGUCUGAGAGGACGACCAGCCACACUGGCACUGAGACACGGGCCAGACUCCUACGGGAGGCAGCAGUGAGGAAUCUUGCGCAAUGGACGAAAGUCUGACGCAGCGACGCCGCGUGGGGGAUGAAGGCCUUCGGGUCGUAAACCCCUUUUGGUGGGAAAGAAACGCUCAGAUGUUAACAGCGUCUGGGUUUGACGGUACCCACAGAAAAAGCCACGGCUAACUCUGUGCCAGCAGCCGCGGUAAGACAGAGGUGGCAAGCGUUGUCCGGAAUUACUGGGCGUAAAGAGCGCGUAGGUGGCUAGAUAAGUCCGGUGUGAAAUCCUUCGGCUUAACCGGGGAAUGGCAUCGGGGACUGUAUAGCUAGAGGACGGGAGAGGAGAGCGGAAUUCCCGGUGUAGCGGUGAAAUGCGUAGAGA
rnacentral:rRNA from 1 species